rnacentral:rRNA from 1 species
UACGGGGGGGGCAAGCGUUGUUCGGAAUUACUGGGCGUAAAGGGCUCGUAGGUGGCCAACUAAGUCAGACGUGAAAUCCCUCGGCUUAACCGGGGAACUGCGUCUGAUACUGGAUGGCUUGAGUUCGGGAGAGGGAUGCGGAAUUCCAGGUGUAGCGGUGAAAUGCGUAGAUAUCGGAAGGAACACCAGUGGCGAAAGCGGCUUCCUGGUCCAGCACCGACGUCAGGCACGAAAGCGUGGGGAGCGAACAGG